UAAGCAUAUCAAUAAGCGGAGGAAAAGAAACCAACAGGGAUUGCCCUAGUAACGGCGAGUGAAGCGGCAACAGCUCAAAUUUGAAAUCUGGCUCUCGGGCCCGAGUUGUAAUUUGUAGAGGAUGCUUUUGAUGCGGUGCCUUCCGAGUUCCCUGGAACGGGACGCCAUAGAGGGUGAGAGCCCCGUCUGGUUGGAUGCCAAAUCUCUGUAAAGCUCCUUCAACGAGUCGAGUAGUUUGGGAAUGCUGCUCUAAAUGGGAGGUAUAUGUCUUCUAAAGCUAAAUAUUGGCCAGAGACCGAUAGCGCACAAGUAGAGUGAUCGAAAGAUGAAAAGCACUUUGAAAAGAGAGUUAAAAAGUACGUGAAAUUGUUGAAAGGGAAGCGUUUAUGACCAGACUUGGACUUGGUUAAUCAUCUGGGGUUCUCCCCAGUGCACUUUUCCAGUUCAGGCCAGCAUCAGUUUUCCCCGGGGGAUAAAGGCAGUGGGAAUGUGGCUCCCUUCGGGGAGUGUUAUAGCCCAUUGUGUAAUACCCUGGGGGAGACUGAGGUUCGCGCAUCUGCAAGGAUGCUGGCGUAAUGGUCAUCAAUGACCCGUCUUGAAACACGGACCAAGGAGUCGUCUUCGUAUGCGAGUGUUCGGGUGUCAAACCCCUACGCGUAAUUAAAGUGAACGCAGGUGAGAGCUUCGGCGCAUCAUCGACCGAUCCUGAUGUUCUCGGAUGGAUUUGAGUAAGAGCAUACGGGGCCGGACCCGAAAGAAGGUGAACUAUGCCUGUAUAGGGUGAAGCCAGAGGAAACUCUGGUGGAGGCUCGCAGCGGUUCUGACGUGCAAAUCGAUCGUCAAAUAUGGGCAUGGGGGCGAAAGACUAAUCGAAC
rnacentral:misc_RNA from 1 species